AUUGAACGCUGGCGGCAGGCCUAACACAUGCAAGUCGAGCGAGCGGCGGACGGGUGAGUAAUGUAGGGGGACUGCCCGAUAGAGGGGGAUAACUAAUGGAAACGGUGGCUAAUACCGCAUACUGUCGGAUGACCCAUAUGGGAUUAGCUAGUCGGUAAGGUAAUGGCUUACCUAGGCGACGAUCCCUAGCGGGUCUGAGAGGAUGAUAAGCCACACUGGGACUUAGACACGGACCAGACUCCUACGGAGGCAGCAGUGGGGAAUAUUGCACAUUGGGCGCAAGCCUGAUGCAGCCAUGCCGCGUGUAUGAAGAAGGCCCUAGGGUUGUAAAGUACUUUCAGUCGGGAGGCGUUACCGACAGAAGAAGCACCGGCUAACUCCGUGCCAGCAGCCGCGGUAAUAC
rnacentral:rRNA from 1 species